GUAGGUGGCAAGCGUUAUCCGGAUUUAUUGGGUUUAAAGGGAGCGCAGACGGGGGAUUAAGUCAGUUGUGAAAGUUUGCGGCUCAACCGUAAAAUUGCAGUUGAUACUGGUUCCCUUGAGUGCAGUUGAGGCAGGCGGAAUUCGUGGUGUAGCGGUGAAAUGCAUAGAUAUUACGAAGAACUCCGAUUGCGAAGGCAGCCUGCUGGACUGUAACUGACGCUGAUGCUCGAAAGUGUGGGUAUCAAACAGGAUUAGAUACCCUGGUAGUCCACACAGUAAACGAUGAAUACUCGCUGUUUGCGAUAUACAGUAAGCGGCCAAGCGAAAGCGUUAAGUAUCCCACCUGGGGAGU
rnacentral:rRNA from 1 species